CAGCGGGUCCCGGCGGCGGGGAGCGGGGCGCAGGGCGCGGGGCGCGGGGAGCCCGGGGCUCAGCGCGAUGCUGGCGCUGUCCGAGGUGCUGGACGCCGGCGGUGAGCGCUCCGGGGCCGCCGCUGUCCGCGGGCAUCUCCGCGAAGGCCAAGCGUGGCGUCAGGUGCAAGCAGCGCGGGAUCUCUGCACCCUACACAGGGCUUGAACUUACAUCCAGGAGAUCAAGAGUCACAGGCUCCAUGGACAGAGCUGGCCAGGAGCUCCUGCAGCAGAUUCCUGGGCUUCAUGGACAGUGAGGGAUUGAUGGAGCCAGCCAGGGUGCUGCCAAACCAUGAGGUCUGGCCCCAGCGCACAGCUGCCUCAACCGCUGCUGCUGACAGCACUCCCACACGCGACACAGGACGGUCCCCACAUGCGCAGGGGACACACAUGUCCCUCAACUCUAGAAUCGUGUGACCUCAAUGUCCUUGGAUCUGAAGACCAGAGUGGAACCAACAGAAGCAAGAAUUAAGAAAAGACAGCAGAACACACAAAGCUUGAUCUCAUGGUCAUGAGUUCGAGCCCCACACUGGGUAUAGAGAUCACUUUUUAAAAAUUAAAAAAAAAAAAAGACAGGGACACCUGAGUGGCUCAGCAGUUGAGUGUCUGCCUUUGGCUCAGG